UUUAUUUUAUUGGAGUACAAGCUGUGACAAUGGUACAUUGUAUCCAGCACUGUCGGUGAUCUUUUUCCCUCAAAUUGCAGUUUCUAGAUAAAUAUCGAUCCAACCAGUGGAGGAACUUUAAGGCUUCAUUCGAGGGCUCUUAUCAAUGUGGCAAUAGCAUAGAACUUAAAAUGAGAAGCUUUGGGAUCUAUCUUCAAUAUGCCCAAGGUCAUCAUCAUCAUCAUAAUCAGAACCAUUGGCUUCAAAUGCUGAAAGAAAAUACAAGUUGUAAUAUUAAGAGAAGCUGUGACAGUGCAGAGAAUCACCCAACAGAGGUCCCAUAUCAGAAAAGAUCAAGACAUCUAUAGCUAGUUUUUCAACUAAGACGGCCAUUUCACUGGCAAAGCUCGAUCUUGACACUCCAACAAAGUACGUCUGCUUUCUUUAUGGUUUACUAGAGCUUGUAGAACCUAAUGCUAUAAUUAAUUUUGGCAAAAACAUCUUGACAACAUUUAAAAUCAUAACCAAUUUCAUAUGGUAGAAUUAGACAUGGUCAAGUGAUUUAAAUGGUCCAAUGUUAUUUAUUCUUUUCUCCCUACUUUUACUCUACUUCAUUUGUUUUAAUAAAUAAUUUUGAAACUCCCAACCCUCACGUCAAUUUAAAAGUUGAUAGUGUUGAUCUUUAUUGUGCAUCUCUUUAAACCAAGUUAAUAGCAAGUCUCUUUUUGGUGUUUAACUUGUUUUCUGAUAGUUUCAGUGGUUUAGCAGGUUUUGCUUCAAGAAUAAGGCAUGGGAUAUGAGGGAAAUUUUGUCUAACUGGAGUUCAAAAGAAGGAGAAAAUGGAUGCAUCUAUAUCUGAAGUCUUGACAAUCACUUGUAUGGUCCAAACUUGAUCCAUUCAAAGAGCAAAAACUGAACUUUGAACUCAUAGAGUCCAGACUCUCUCUAAAGAGGUCCAGAACAUACUGAAAUUCUUUUUUGAAAUUUAGCUACGGGACUAUAUAUAGGGUCCCGGCUCUCUAAAUAAGUCUGGACCUGAUUGUGCUUUGAAGUCCUUUUUUCAGCUUGCUUGUUGUUAUCUUAUGCCUUCACAUGACAAGCAACCCAGGUUUCGGUUAUGAGAGAUAUUGAAGCUCGUUUGGCAAGAAAUUUGGGAGACUUAUCUCAGACUUUUUUGAGAGGUGUUCUCUCAUUUUUCUGGAUCAGGUUAGGUUUUCUUUUUCUUUCUUUGUAAUCUUCAAGGUUGUAAAAUGGUUGGAGAGCCAUCCACAGAGGAGCUCUAAGAUCACAUUCAUGGCUAGAUUCUCCAGCUAGGGAAAGGUUAGUUUGAUGUAAUUUUUAUAUACAAUGUAUUGGCUUCAAAUUGCACUCUAUCAAAGCUUCUGUGUUUCCAUUUCAGAUCUUCAUUGCAUUUGUUGCUUCGAUAUUUUGUGUUAAAUGCUUGAUGAUACACCAA
rnacentral:lncRNA from 1 species